rnacentral:rRNA from 1 species
GACGAACGCUGGCGGCGUGCUUAACACAUGCAAGUCGAACGACGAAGCCCAGCUUGCUGGGUGGAUUAGUGGCGAACGGGUGAGUAACACGUGGGCAACCUGCCCCAAACUCUGGGAUAACUCCUCGAAAGAGGUGCUAAUACCGGAUACGAACUAGACAGACAUCUGUACUAGUUGGAAAGUUUUUCGGUUUGGGAUGGGCCCGCGGCCUAUCAGCUUGUUGGUGAGGUAACGGCUCACCAAGGCUACGACGGGUAACCGGCCUGAGAGGGCGACCGGUCACACUGGGACUGAGACACGGCCCAGACUCCUACGGGAGGCAGCAGUGGGGAAUAUUGCGCAAUGGGCGAAAGCCUGACGCAGCGACGCCGCGUGAGGGAUGAAGGUCUUCGGAUCGUAAACCUCUUUCAGUAGGGACGAAGCGAAAGUGACGGUACCUAAAGAAGAAGCACCGGCUAACUACGUGCCAGCAGCCGCCGCCG